AUUUUUCCUUUCCCAAGCCUACUUUAGUCAUUAGUGUCAGAGCCCAAAGGUUCAACACAUUUCUUUCCAUUCUGGAUAUGCCCCUGUAGGAUUCCAAAAAAUCUUUAGUGCUCUGAGGCCCAAUGCAGCCAUGGAAACACUCCACAAAACACCUGUCAGGCCUGCUUCUGUUCAAACACCUGCUGCAGGAAUCACAGUCUACCAUCAGGGUUGAGCAUGUGUCAGUCUCCCAUCAGUCUCCCAACUUAAGAUCUACAGUGGAGCUUACAAGAAUCAGUGAUCUGGGAACCACUGAAUCAGUCCACUCGAUGCUCAGUGUCAUGUUGAAUCAGACCUCCCAAAAGUCGGACAUCUUGGCUCAAGCUCUAAACACAACUUGACAUUUACUGUAUGCCAUUA